rnacentral:rRNA from 1 species
UCCGUAGGUGGAUAAUUAAGUCAGAGGUGAAAUCCCACAGCUUAACUGUGGAACUGCCUUAGAUACUGGUUAUCUUGAGUUUUAGUGAAGUAGAUAGAAUGUGUAGUGUAGCGGUGAAAUGCAUAGAUAUUACACAGAAUACCGAUUGCGAAGGCAGUCUACUAACUAACAACUGACGCUAAUGGACGAAAGCGUGGGGAGCGAACAGGAUUAGAUACCCUGGUAGUCC